rnacentral:rRNA from 1 species
GCCAGCAGCCGCGGUAAUUCCAGCUCCAGUAGUGUAUAUCAACAUUGUUGCGCUUAAAACGCUCGUAGUUGGAUUACAGGGCUCCAAACACAGUCGCAAGCGUGUGGCGGUGGUUGCAACAAGCCCGGUUGCUGCUCUGUAGUUGGUUUUGCCAUUCUACAGAGUCGGUGGUUGGGUAGUUCAACGGGGCCCUUUUGUCGCACUGGUCCCGGGAGAAUUCUUUAUCGAUUUUGACCGGUUGCCGGUGGAGUGUGCCUUGAAUAAAGCAUGGUGCUCAAUGCAGGCGUACGCUCGUGUGUAAUAGCAUGGAACGAAUAGAUGUUGGCCGGUUGGAGUGCGUUACGCCUUUGGUGUGGACGACUUUAACGCGGUUCGAUCAGUGUUGGUUGGAACCACGGUCUCAAUGGUUAAAAGGGACAUCUGAGGGCACUAGUACUUUGUGGCGAGAGGUGAAAUUCUUAGACCCACAAAAGACUGACUAUUGCGAAAGCAUUUGCCAAGAGUGUUUUCAUUAAUCAAGAACGAAGGUCAGAGGAUCGAAGACGAUCAGAUACCGUCCUAGUUUUGACAGCAAACUAUGCCAGCAUAGGGUCGGAGCGGUCGCUCGCCAACAGCGAGUCGUACUACUGCGGGCCUUACGGGAAACCUAGCUUUCGGGCUGCUGGGAGAAUAUCGCUGCAAGGCUGAAAUUUAAAGAAAUUGACGGAGAGGCACCACCAGGAGUGGAGCCUGCGGCUUAAUUUGACUCAACACGGGGAAACUCACCAGGUCCAGACAUUGGUAGGAUUGACAGACUGGUAGAUCUUUCAUGAUUCGGUGAAUGGUGGUGCAUGGCCGUUCUUAGUUGGUGGAGUGAUCUGUCAGGUUUAUUCCGGUAACGAUCGAGACCACGGCCUUUAGUUGGUGGUGGAGUUGUUUUAACAGCAGCUCCGUGCCUAACUCGAGGGAC